CAGUCGCCGCGGUAAAACGGAGGGUGCAAGCGUUAAUCGGAAUUACUGGGCGUAAAGCGCACGCAGGCGGUUUGUUAAGUCAGAUGUGAAAUCCCCGGGCUCAACCUGGGAACUGCAUCUGAUACUGGCAAGCUUGAGUCUCGUAGAGGGGGGUAGAAUUCCAGGUGUAGCGGUGAAAUGCGUAGAGAUCUGGAGGAAUACCGGUGGCGAAGGCGGCCCCCUGGACGAAGACUGACGCUCAGGUGCGAAAGCGUGGGGAGCAAACAGGAUUAGAUACCCGUGUAGUCCCUGUCUCUUAUAC
rnacentral:rRNA from 1 species